CAUACAUACACAGUGACACCUGCCCAUCAGUAACUAACAUUCACACACUGUAGUCGCAGCUACACGAGCAAUGUUGGGUUAAGUGUCUUGCCCAAGAACACAUCGACAUGACCGUUGUUUUGGCUGAGGGUGUAGCCCACAGAAGCCUGUUCCUUCUUCCUCCCUAAAAGUGCAAGUUCUCGUUUCAUAGUUUCCCUUAUCGAGAGUCGCUACAACAUUAUGCAGUUCAUUUUGCAGUAUGCACGAUCAAGCUAAAACCUAAAACAAGCUCUUAAGGCAGCUGACAAACUAAUACAUUUCUUGCAAUAUUAUUCACAAAUAUAACUAACUAAUAAGUUUUUAAUGUUUGAGGGCUUGAACAAUGUUGGUAAGUGUUAUAAGACACCGCAGGGUUCAACUCACACAGUUCACGGGGAAAUAAGACAGAAACGAGAGUUGACUGUAUGCUAUACAAAUACUAUAGAGUGUAUUAGUUUUACUCGGUUAAAACUUCAAAAAGGGUUCAAAAAAAGUUUCUCUCUGUGCUGUUAGAGGGUGUUCUUUCCGUUGCCUCUUAAGGAAGAUUACUGCCAUAAAGAGUCAUUCAACUCAAAAGUAAAACUCUUAUGUCUACAAGACUGACUCCUAGUGAGAGCUGGCCAGCUGACUAGAGACCCGCCGGAUGCUAGCUUGGUGAAACACCAGGCAGGGGAGAUUUUUCAAUUAUUUUUACAAUUUUGGUUCAGCAUCAAUUUUUGUGAAACAGCUUUUAAUUUGAAAUCAAAACUGUUGACUUUUGUGUCUGUGAAUUUAGUGCUGUAAUUGCAAAAUUGUUAAAACAUUUAGCCACUCUCGCAUUUCGCAUUGUUGGAUAGGCGAGGUAUAAUGAUGCCAUUCAUGCUGAAAUUUUGUGUCUUUGUUCGCAUACAAUGUACUCUAAAUGGAUUGGUAUGGUAUGAUUUUGAAAAUAGCCCACGUGAAAGUAAAGUUCAGGCUUUCAUAACAUGAAUUCAUGACAUGCUGUUCACACAAUUUAGUGUACUAUGAAAGUAUUUUGGUUGAAGAAUAGCCCAAUGCCUGUGGCUUCUUUAUGGAAACCCUAUAGUUGGUUUUGAUGUUAUUCAAAGAGUUUGUUUAAGGAAAGCUUUAUUUUCAAAAGAAGCUGUUUAUUGUGUUAGAGGUAACAACUAACAAGCGUCAGUGAUGAAGAGGUAGAUAAUGUUUGACAGGAAUAUUGUGACAAUGGAUCAAAGGUUAAAUUCUAUGGUCCUGUCAGAUCUACCUACAACCUUCAGGAGACUUCUGUCUGCAAGUGAGUGUAAAUCUGAACCGGCAGCAUGGUGGAAUUGGCUUUUUACCCGGCGGUGGCGCUGAUGUAUUUCUUUGGAGUGGUGAAAGCCACACAGGACGAUCGGGUGGAGCUGGACGAACGUGCGUCGAUAAACGUUUUCUGUCUGUUCGUGUUGGCACAGCCGCUGUGUCUUGUACUGGGAGAGUACACCGGCAUGGCUACAUACCUCUUCACAGCUCUGGUCUCGUACAACUUCCUGCCUUGGAGGACGACAACACAGCCUGCAAAGGAAAAAGAAUCAAUAAAGAAGUCAAAGUGAGAGCAAGAAAUAUAAACUGAAUGAAGAUGAAAACAAACUGAAUUCAAACUGUUUGGAAAGAAAUAUUUACGUAAGGAAUAAACAUUCAAUGGGAAAAUGUUA